UAAAAACAUUUCACCUCUUCCACGUACAACCCCAUCCCCCGUAAACACCACCGGCCACCACCUCACCCCCCGCCGUGUCUCCGCCGUCUGCCGCCGCCGGCGGCAUCGGCGGAGCUCCAAACGACCCCAAAUUUUCACCAAUGAACCCUCUUCUUCUCCUCUUCCUAACCCUCAGAAUCAUUUCCCUCAACUCAUCGCCUAUUUUUUCGAAUUUUAAAUUGAAAUUUUCAUCCAAGUCACAAGCUCGUCCAAUCGAUCCCAAAUCGAUAACAGAUGGUCCCUUAACCUUUCUCAACUCGAAUCCUCGAUCAAAACCCCUCGAAUCCCGCCAAGCUUUCUCAAAUUUUGGAUCUAGAGUUCAGGGUUCAGACUUGUUCUGGGGAAUUUUAAGGCAUCGAUUUGAUUUCUAAUUGACGCCAUAUGUUUUACGAACAUAUAACGUCAACUAAAAAUCAAGUUCGAUGUACUGGUCGAGUGAAGAUUUUUAGCCGUAAGUUUUCCUUCUAUGUUUUGUUCUUUCAUUUUUUUUAAUCUUAUAUCUUAUUAGUGGGUUCAUGUAUUAGUUGUUUAAUGAAGUUAAGUUGUUAUCUGUUUCUAAUCGUUCAUGCUUCUGUUACAAUUCUAGGCUUAGAGUAUUUUUGAUUCGUUUCGGUGUUUAGCUCUAUUUAGUUAGUAUGAUUCGACUAGGUUUUACUCAUUUUCAUUUCAAGUUUAUGUUCUGACUCCGGAAAUAAUUGAUUUCUAUAAAUAUUUGUAGGUGAUUUUUUUCCCUUCUUUAGUUUUGGUUUAGUAAUUCUAGACAUUUGUACAAAUGUGUUUGUGAAUUCUGUUCUGAAUAUUGUUAGAUCUUAGUUGGAAUGAAUUAGUAUUCUGUUAGCUUGAUUAGUAGGUUUAAUUGUUCUUUAAUUCAAUUUUUAGUAGUAAAGAUUUGGUUGAUUGGAUUUAGCUGAAUAGUUUAAUACUUAUUUAACUAAUCUGAAUCUGUAGCUAGGGUAAAAGGGCUGUGGCUGGGUAGUAGUUCCAGGGUGAAAUAAGGGUAGUUUAGGCAUGAAAAAGGGUAGGUUUAUUAGAAUUGGUAAUUCUAGAAAGCGGGUUAGGGUAGUAUAGAUGUUGUAGUAGCUAAAAGAACCUUCCAAUGCAUUCCAAAUAGGGCUUUAGUGUAAGUUUUAAUAUUUUUGGUAGUAGUUACUUGGGGAACAAGUUAGGAAAUAAGGGACAAAGAUUGAAAACUGAAAGUUUGAGGGCUGCCCCUCACUUUGCCUAUAAAAUGGCAUUCCCAUGCUUUUAUUCAUAAGUUUGGCAACCUAAUAAUUCCUGAAAAAGCCUCCCCAUAGAUCUGAAUCUGAUUUUGGAAUUUCAGAAUGAUUAGGAGUUCAGAUUUUUAGAUUUAGAUUUGAGAUAUUACAGAAAACCAAAAAAAACAAUACAAAAACUGUCCAAAAAAUAAAAAAGUGCUACUGUUCCAUUGAAACUAAAGGUUGAUUUCAAUUUCUAUUUUUUAGUUCAAGGGAUGUAGUUAUUAUUGUGGUUUGUUGAAGGGUAGAGGUUAAAUUGAAUCGAUUUAAAUGGGUAAUUAGUUAUCUGUGCAUCAUGGAUGCCUUUCUGAUUUGGUUUGUUGCUGAACUUGGGGUCUGCUUAGUUUGGAGUUGUUUGAAUUCUGAUCAGUGAAGUCCUAAGGCAGUUCAGAUUCAAUUUCGGGUGCAAUUUGAUUGCUUCGUGGUUGAAAUCUCUCUGUCAUUUGGUUUCAAACUCAUUUUUGGGCUGCAUUUGGUCUCUACUGUGCAUGCUGACUGCUGCUCCGACUUGCUGAUCUCCUCUCUUUUAUUUCAUUUUACUGUCUGAGGUACACAUCUUUGGACCUUAAGCAUGUAAACUGCAACUUGUGUUUUUUUGGAAGAAAUGAAAAUUCUGAUGUUAUCUGUUCCUUUCUCAGUAUGUUGGGAUUUGUAUUGGUACUGUAGUAAAUUAAUUCAUGUCUGUUUGGAUUCUUAGGUUCUAUUGUCAUCUUUAUUAGAACAUUUGUUAGUCACAACACUACUGUAGUAUCCAGAUUUGAGUUCUUUGUUUAAUUAGGUGGGUGUUGAUUUAUGAUUGAUGUAUCCUAUUCCUUUUUGCUUUAAAUUUGGGUAUAUCGUCUGUUUCGAGAUUUCCCAUGGCUAACAUGAUUUGUUAGUUCAGAAUUUCGUGUAGCGUAAUUGAAUAUCAUUUUUGAUAUGCUAUUCACUUUUCCAGUAUAAUUCUCUACAUGUCUCUACGUGGGGUAGCCUUACGUGAAAUUCAAAUUACAGGCAGUGAUGUCCCUAUUUUGUUUAACAGAAAGAAUCAAGAAUUGGGUUUCAGUCUUGUGUGCUCUUUGUUCGAUUUGGGCCUCUCAAGCCCAGUAUCUAUAUUUGUUGGACAACCUAUGUCAUGCAUGUGUCUUGUGUGGGAUUUGUAAUGGUAACAGGGUCCGCUAGUAAUUAAUUGGUAGGUUUUGGGCCUUUCGAGCUAAGUAGCGGACCCGAGCUAAAGGGUUUCUUCAGUAAUGGAGAUCGCCUUGUUCGAGUCCGGACUUGAAGUCGGAAUCCGAAUUCUAAUAUAGUUAAAUAGGAUUUUCUUUUUUCUUUUAGAGACAAAAACAAAAAUAGAAAAUAUAGUUAUCUUUUAGGUUUAUCCUUUAAAAUAAAAUGAGACGAGCCUCGCUAUGAAAACACAAACAAUUGCGGGGCCCACAAUAAAGGUUUAAUAAUAUUCUAGAAAUUGGGAAGGGCCGUUUAGCGAAUUUCACGACCCUCCCAAAAGAUUACAACACGUUGGACUCUAUUUGGCGACUUUAAUAAAUUAAAUUCUAAGUACGGGUGGGCAUUUUGUGCGGCCCAGAUCCAAAUCCAAAAAUAUUGAAUUGAGUGUGUCUAGGAUUGAGGGUUCAUUUCAUGCAGUGCAAUCCGAAAACACAUUUUAAACGACGUUCACUUUCUUAAAUAAAUAUUAUAUUAAAUAAAAGUGGUUAAGCGUAAAAUUGGCACAUAGUUUCUUCAUGUAGUUAAAUCAGUAAAAACUAAAUGCAACAGUUGAGUGACCGUGCUAGAACCACAGAACACGGGAAUGCCUAACACCUUCUUCCGUGUUAACAUAAUUUCAUAUCCAGAUUUCUGGUUCGCAGACUGUGAACAGAGUAAUCUUUUUUCUCGGUUCGGGAUUCAAUCGGUGACUUGGGACACUAUUAAUCUCCCAAGUGGUGACUCUGAAUAAAUAAUAACUAAAUCCUGUUCCGAUUGUCCUUUAAUUGGAAAAACUCCCUUACGCCCUUUUCGCGGGGGUGUAUAGCGAAAAAGGAGGUGUGACAGCUCUGGGGACUCUACUGGGGAAAAGAAGCCAGAAUAUUUUGUUCAGGUUUCAGAAUUCGAGCUUAGAAUAAUUGUUGUGUUUGGAUCUAUCUGAUUUUGUUACAUGAUAUGUGCCUAAUGUGCUAACUUAUUGCAUUUUACCGCUUUGAUAUUUGUGAACUGUAUAUUAAUUGUGCCGAAACCCAUCUCCUCUCUGAGUCUUCUGAAUCAUGAAGAAGGGUGUACUUCGUAUGGUUCUUUUCUGUAUAGUGUCAAAUCCCAAUUUUGAACGAGGUUUAGAUAAGUUGCAAAGCCGGCAGAGCUUCUUUAUUCCCGGAUUGCUUCCUCCCCCUCGGCUCGAGUCGUCCGCUCGGGUAAGCCAGGUCUAGAACAAACACCCAAGUUUUUAACCAAGAAUAACUCAGCCUCAUGCUAGAUACCUAGUAGGAACGCUUAUUUGCAUCAUGUGCAUUUUGAUUUAGGGGACUCAACACAGGGGUUGGGUCCGUCUAGGGCUAGCAACCUGAAAUGAAGACACCAUCCUGAUACAUCCUACUUGUUUUCUGUGCAUUCAUAUGCUCGGGCUUGCAUGUUGACCGGCUUUUGAAUCUCGGGGGUGUUAGGAAAAUGAGGAAAAGAGAAAAAAUAGCAAGUCAGGUUUUGUGGUGUUGUUUUCUGUGCAUUUAUUUGCUCGGGCUUGCAUGUUGACCAGCUCCUGAAUCUCGGGAAUGUUAGAAAAUAAAAAAAAGAGAAAAAAAGAGAAAAAUAGCAGUUGGAGAGUUAAUUGACUGUUUUGGAAAAACCAAUGCCCAAGUACUAUUGAAACUCUUCCGAAAUUUUGAAAAAAAUAAAAAAUAAAAAAAGUUUUUAAUAGUUUUUUUUACUAAAAAAGCAAAGGAAAAAUAGAAAAAAGUAUUUUAUUUUUGGAAAUUGUUUGCUGAAAAGAAAGAAGAAAAGAGUCUUUAUUUUAGUUUGGGAAAAUGAGUUGUUUUGCUUAAAAUGAAAAAAAAAAAAAAAAGCAGAUGUUUUGUCUUGUUUUCGAAAAAUAGAAAAGAAAAAAUAGUUUGUUUUGCCAUGAAAAAUAAAAAAAGGGAAAAGAGUCUUUUAUUUUAGUCUUGUUUUCGAGAAUGAAAAAGAGAAAAACAGUUUGUUUUGCCAUAAAAAAUAAAAUAAAAAUAAAAAGGGUCUUUUAUUUUUAGGCUAUUUUAUUGUUUGUUGAGAAAGAAAAGAAAAGUGUCUUGUUUUUUUAAAAGGUAGUUUUUUUUAUUUGCUCAUAAAAAGACAAAAAUGAAAAUAAAAAAGAAUCUUGCUUUUGAAAGUAGUUUUCUUAUUUUGUUCAUGAAAUGCCAAAAAAUGAAAAUAAAAAAAAGAUUCUUGUCUUAAAAUAGUUCGGUUAUUUCUCCCGAACUACGCAUGGUUUGAUUCUCACAGGGCGUGAGAUACGUAGGUAACCCUCACCGGGUCCAAUCUCCCCUUUACAAAAAUUGCCCAAAAAAUGUCAAACUUUUAAAUUUUGUCAUAAAUAGACCAGGUGAUGCCCUUUUAAUCAAAAAUAGUUCAAACGGGGUGUCGGAAGGCUGACUUGCAUAAACAUCCAACUUUGGUCAUAUUUUGAUUUUUAACCCUCACAACCUUAAAAUAUUUGUCCUCGAGGCGCUAGAAGGUCGUGUUUCCAAUAUCGGGUCAUUUAUUUUAAUUAGGAAAACGAGAAAAAGAUAUAGUGGUCAAGUGAAUAUCGUUCGAAUUUUGGGUCAAAAUUGGCAUAUAUGGGAAGCAAUAUGUCAUCUUAUUUUUGGGUUUGUAUUUCUUUUGAUUAGAGUAUAUGGUUGUUCCAUUUUGAGUCUGUAUCUCAUCGUUAAGUUGGUCAGUUUUGUUGUUAUUAUGAAAAUAAAAAUUCCAAAAAAAGUUUUAUUGUCGUUUACCUUUUAUUUGUAAGAACUACGCACGGUCUAAUUCAUGUGUGUGACGACCCGACCCAUCGUCUUAUGUGUUACUGCUCCGUUUCCCCCUUAUUGUGUUGCUUCAUGCUUCAAUAUCAGUAUUAGAAUUGAUCGGGUGUAAUUGAAUUGGUUUUGAUUGAAAAUAAAGCACAUGACCUUUUAGACAGAAGCUUGUUUUGGAAAGGUCAACCAGAAGUUGACUUGUGAGUUAGAAGGCUCGGAUAUGAUUUCCGGUGAUUCGGUUAGCUUCGGGAGAUGAUUUUGACUUUGGAGAGCGAUCAAAAUUGAAUUUGAAGGUCCGAUGUAGAAUUAGGCUUCAAUUGGCAAAGUUUGAAUAUUGGCAAAUUCCGGUUGACAUGUGAGAUUUUGAUCCAGGGGUCGGAAUGGAAUUCUGACAGUUGCAGUAGCUCCGUUAGGUGAUUUUGGAUAUGUAUGAAAAUUUUCAGGUCAUUCAGAAGUGUUUAGGUCUGGUUUUGGAUCGAAUGAGAAUUUGGAAAAGUUCUAGUUUGACUUAGGCUUGAAUUUGUUGAAUUUGGUGAUUUUCGAUGUUAAUGUUAGUGUUUUUAUGGCCCGAGCAAGUUUGAAUGAGGUAAUUGGUCAUGUUGGUUCUUUUAGUUGAGGUCCCUGGGGCCUCGGGUGUGUUUUGGGUGUGUACAGACACCCCGGAGCUUAGAAAAAUGGAAGGGGCAUCAGUGGUGGUGCGGACCGCGCAGCUUUUCUCGCGGCCGCGUAGGGGAAGAACCAGCAUCGUCAGUGGUUCUGUUUCGGAAGCUCAUAACCUUUUAUCUACAAGGAAUAUAGGGUUGCUUCAAAAAUAAAAGUUGUAGAUCAUUGAAUCUGGUUUUAAGAAACUUAUUAUAAUAGGCAUUUGGACAUCUGUAGCAAUUGUUAUGGCUACAAUACUAAAGCCUGUUACUGCAGUCAAAAGCUGCACGGCCGGGGCCUUUUUUGUGCAGCCGCGGAGCCUGGGGGCGGACCGAUGUCAUUUUUGUGCGGCCGCACAUGUGACAAUCUGGGGGUACAUGUAUAAAUACGAGAUUUAGGAUUUUAUUUAAUAUUUUACCCGUGGGAACUCGGAUUUUGGUGAUUUUUUGAAAGUUUUUCAAGAAAUUCAUCGGAGUAAGUGAUUCUAACUCAGAUUUGGUUAGAGUACAUGGAUCUAUCAUUGAAUUCAUCAUUUAAUUAGUGAUUUGAGAUGAAAUUUAGGAAGAAAUUUUGAAAUCUUUCAAAAAUGUAAAAUAAAGAUUUGAAGGACCAAAUGGUGUCAGAAUUGGAUGAAUAUUUUAUGGUUAGACUCGUGGCGAGAUAAGGAUCGUACUUACGGAAAAUUUUCUGAAUUUCGAGAAGUGUUCUCGGGGCUCGGGUUUUGCCAACUUCGUAUUUUUGGGUGUAUUUCGAGUAAUUUGGGCUAUGUUCCAUUAGCCUAUUUUGACGUAUUCCUAUUGGUUUUGAUCAGAUUUUGAAUCCCCGGAGGUUGAUUCUCGAGGGAAAGGCAUUGCGAGCUAGUUUGCGACCGGCUUGAGGUGAGUAAUGGGUGUAGA
rnacentral:lncRNA from 1 species